rnacentral:rRNA from 1 species
GACGAACGCUGGCGGCGUGCUUAACACAUGCAAGUCGAACGGAAAGGCACUGCUUUUGUGGGGUGCUCGAGUGGCGAACGGGUGAGUAACACGUGAGUAACCUGCCCUUGACUUUGGGAUAACUUCAGGAAACUGGGGCUAAUAUCGGAUAGGAGCUCCUGCUGCAUGGUGGGGGUUGGAAAGUUUCGGCGGUUGGGGAUGGACUCGCGGCUUAUCAGCUUGUUGGUGGGGUAGUGGCUUACCAAGGCUUUGACGGGUAGCCGGCCUGAGAGGGUGACCGGCCACAUUGGGACUGAGAUACGGCCCAGACUCCUACGGGAGGCAGCAGUGGGGAAUAUUGCACAAUGGGCGGAAGCCUGAUGCAGCAACGCCGCGUGCGGGAUGACGGCCUUCGGGUUGUAAACCGCUUUCGCCUGUGACGAAGCGUGAGUGACGGUAAUGGGUAAAGAAGCACCGGCUAACUACGUG